AAGACUAUACUUUCAGGGAUCAUUUUUAUAAUUCAUUACUAGACAAGUUUCUCUGACCAUAUAGACCAUGAGACCAUGAGGAUGAGAUGUAGCAUUCCCUCAUGAGAUUGAUGCUGGCUCUAGGUGCUGUUUUUCUGCAGCUGCCUCUUGCCAUUGAUGAUCAUUCUUCUCUCCCUUUGUAAUGGGGAGGACACAGUCUAAGUGGA
ensembl:snoRNA U3 Small nucleolar RNA U3